AAGAGUUUGAUCAUGGCUCAGAACGAACGCUGGCGGCAUGCCUAACACAUGCAAGUCGAACGAACCUUCGGGGUUAGUGGCGCACGGGUGCGUAACACGUGGGAAUCUGCCCUUUGCUUCGGAAUAACAGUUAGAAAUGACUGCUAAUACCGGAUGAUGUCGUAAGACCAAAGAUUUAUCGGCAAAGGAUGAGCCCGCGUAGGAUUAGGUAGUUGGUGGGGUAAAGGCCUACCAAGCCGACGAUCCUUAGCUGGUCUGAGAGGAUGAUCAGCCACACUGGGACUGAGACACGGCCCAGACUCCUACGGGAGGCAGCAGUGGGGAAUAUUGGACAAUGGGCGAAAGCCUGAUCCAGCAAUGCCGCGUGAGUGAUGAAGGCCUUCGGGUUGUAAAGCUCUUUACCAGGGAUGAUAAUGACAGUACCUGGAGAAUAAGCUCCGGCUAACUCCGUG
rnacentral:rRNA from 1 species